UUUCCUCCCUCAGCUCCGCCGCCGCCUCCCGCAGGCUGCGGGGUCUGAGGGGGUUAGAGUGACAGGUGUGCCCCGCGGGCCAGGUGGCCUCCGAACCCCGGGAGAAAAGGAGCAAAGGCUGAGGAACGGAGACUUUUCGAACUCCAGCCGUUCAAAGGGGGCCCUCAAAUGUCCAUCCAUGCUGUCGCAAAUGGUCCCUGAUCAUUAACCACGAAUCCA